rnacentral:lncRNA from 1 species
UGCUGUGUCUGCACUCCCUAUUCACCCUCCUAUGCCAAGUUCUGUCCAGGAAACUUUGUGUUUGGUCAAAAUGGUUACAGAGUUCAGCGGGAAGUUUCCUUCUCCCUGUGGGCUUUUCCCAGUUCCUCUGGCAGCCCUCCCCAAGGACUCCUGUGAGACCAAUCAGAAAUGGCUUCCCUGGGGACCAAGCGUGCCCACAGGGCUCUUCCUGCUGCCUCUUCUACACCUGUAUUUCACUUGGCUCUCUAAAUUUGUCUCAGCUCCAGUUGAGCUCAGAAAGAAGCAGAUCCUGGCAAAGUCAGUUUUAAUGAAGAGAAGAUGGAGGAAAAAGCAGUGCCUGAGCGGGCACCGAAGGCACUCGAGGGCCCUGUGCUCUUUGGGAGAGAUGGUCAAUGAGAUGUAAGUGAAAUCACUAAGGAGGACUUCCCUUCCUGAAUAAAAUGACAAUACCUCAGUACAAGAAAUGUCUUUUUCCCUUGUCCCUCCACUCCCGACCUCUUGCUACUAUCUUCCCGGAGACAUGAAACUUAGAAGUGGAGCAGCCACCACUGUCCAUGGGAUGACAAGUGUGAGGACAAAAGCCAGUGUAACAAAGAAGGGCAGAAUGGACAGGUGAGAGCAGCCUGGGUCCCUCUUUUAUGGCAACUCUGAGCAGUUGCUAUGCUGACGGGGGACUGCCUAUGUUUGCACUUGCUAUGAGGGGAAAAGCAACUGUUGAUCAGGCUUCCUAUUGUUCUCAGAUAAAUUUUAUUCCUAACUGAUCCAUCACUGAGAAGUUACUAUAUUGGCAUAUAGACCAUAAAUAUAUUUAUAAUGUUGACUUUAGACAUUAUCCUUUCUAAAGAAGCCCUGUGGGCUUUAGACAAAGCUAAGACUUUAGAAGUUUAAGCUUCUUUGUUGUUAUUUCUAAAAAGCAUGUAUUAAGUGCCUAAAUUGUCAAUACCAGGCAAUCUGCCAAGUGUUCAUGCCCUAACAACAUUUCCUGAGCCAAAGGCACAGUUUGACAUAACACCUGAUUAUGGGGUGAAUAUUUUCAACAGAAUUGUGCUAGAAAAUCCAGGCUGUCUGUUGUUCUACUUGACGCAGGCUGUGAUUUCUUCAGGGUAGGCACCAGGUCAGAGCAAAUACAUCACUAGAAACAAUAAAUGAAAUAGCAACAGACAACAAGGUGUUUGCAUUAUGACAGGCCAAAUUUGAUCUAAAGGGUAAACAACAAACAAAGGUAUCUAAUUGGAAAAAGAACUGAGAAAGGGUAAGAGUUUCACAUUUUGAAAAGCAGGUUGGUAAUUUGUUAUUUGAUGGUGAGGAUAUUCAGGAAUGUUGCCAUUCUGUGGUUCACAGCAGGAGAAUUUCAUGGAAGAGGAUUUCCAUGAGCUCACAGGCUGUUUAAAGAACUGGAGAGAACUGAAUUGGCAAAUGGGGGAAAAUAUUAGGUUGGUGCAAAAGUAAUUGCAGUUUUUGCCUUUACUUGCAAUAUGUUAUAGGCACGUGAUUCUGCCUUGGAAGGUCAUAAAGACAAAAGGUUGGCCUUCCCUGGAGCAAAACAUAGAAAUAUGUCCCCUGGGGCCGUGUCAUAUGCCAGUCCUGUAAGCAGCAUGGGGGACAGUGAUGGUCUACUUAGGUAAGGCAAAAGUGAUUGACUGAGAAGUAGAAGGAAGUAAAUCUCAUUAAAUGUUGAAUUUCACUGGGGUCUGUUUCUGACACACUUCUUACUUUUAUGCAUUUAACUAUGUGCUGGAUAACUUUCAGAUUUUUAUUUCUAAACUGUCUUAGUCUGUUUAUGUUGCUGUAGAGGAAUAUCUGAGACUGGGUCAUUUAUAAAGGAAAGAGCUUUACUUGGCUUAUGGUUCUUCAGGCUGUACAAGAAGCAUAGUACCUGCAUCUACUUCUGGUAAGGGCUUCAGGCUGCUUCCAACCAAGGCAGAAGGUGAAGGGGAGCUUCUGUGUGCAGAGAUAACAUGGUGAAAAAGGAAGCGAGAGAGAGAGUGGGGAGGUGCCAGACUCUUUUUAACAACCAGCUCUGGCAGGAACUAAUAGAGCUAGCACUAGAACUCACUCAUUACUGUGAGGACAGGCUGCAAGACAUUAUUGAGGGAUCUGCCCAUGACCCAAACACCUCCCAUUAAUGGCCUCUCCUCCAACAUUGGGGAUCAAAUUUCAACAUGAAGUUUGGAGAAGUCAAAUAUCCAAACCAUAGCACAAACCUAAUCUUCCAAAUUUUCCAGCGUUCUCUCCCUGGAUUUUUGCAGUUACUUCUAAUUCACCGUAUCUGCAAAUAAACUCAUUAAAGUGUCUUUUCUUCCUGUACAUUAUGUUUCUCAUUCUGUAUUUUUGACAACUAUUUAUUGAGUGCCUACACUGUGCCACUCAGUGUGCUAGGGCUGGGGAUACAAGGGUGAGCAAGACCAGACCACACCCUCUUUCCUUUACUCCAACCUCCAUCCUUUUCCAUACUGCUUCCAGGCAGCUUUAUCCAAAACUCAUGUCUCAAUUUUUUUUUUUUGAAAUGGAGUCUCACUCUUCAACUCUUCGUCACCUAGGCUGGAGUGCAGUGGUGCGAUCUCGGCUUACUGCAACUUCUGCCUACCGAGUUCAAGCGAUCGUCCCACCUCAGCCUCCCCAGUAGCUGGGAUUAUAAGCGUGUGCCACCAUGUCCAGCUAAUUUCUGUAUUCUUAGUAGAGACAGGGUUGGCCAGGCUGGCCUUGAACUCCUGACCUCAAGUCAUCCACCUACCUCGGCCUCCCAAAAUGCUGGGAUUACAGGCAUGAGCCACCGCUUCUGGCCAUGUCUCAAAUUUUUAUAUCCAAACUAUCUUAGUGCAUUUGCAUUGCCAUAAGGGAAUAUCUGAGACUGGGUAAUUUAAUAAAGAAAAGAACCAUUUCACUUUCCUGGCUAAAGCUUUUCUAGUGAUUUAGUGUUUUAUGUUGUAAAGUUACUCUAGAUUUUUAGCUUAGUUGUCGUUUUCUUCUUCCUCUUGAACUUUACAUUUGAGCAACAUCAACCUAUUCAUAGUUUCUUGAGCACGCUAUGGCAUUUCAUGAUUCUGAGCCUUUGAUCAUUCUGUACGGUCCCUGUAGAUCCACUUUCUUCUUUCAUCUUUGUUUAACUCCCACUUUACUUCUGUCUCACAUGCCUUUUCUGUGCUCAUAGUGGUUCUUAUUUACCCCAUUAUAGCACUCAGCACAUGUGGAGGAAAAGUUAAAUAUUAAAUUUGAACUCAAUUGAACGUGGACACAAACAGUAGUCACCAAGUCCUGGAACAGGUUGUGUGAGCCCCUUGAGGCAUUCAUUCAGCACUGUUUCAGAGAAAUCUCUAUUUCAAUCUAUUCCUAUAUGUUAGUUAUCGAAAAACAACAAACAAUCGCAAAAACAAGUUGACCUUUUUGUGCUCCUUGAGCCAAGUCGUGAAGGGCCCUCAUGACUGGGCCUCAUGCCAAACAACUCAUUACAAAAAGAGCUAGGGUCCCAGACCAUGCUGAAUCUUCAUGAGACCUCUCCUCGUCUGUGCAUGGAUGGGUGGCUGACUCUGGAGCCCAGGCUGUUGCUUCCCAGUCUGGUGAUGAUUCCUCCAUAGUCUGGUGAAUGUGUAUCUAUAUGUUUUCCCUUCUCCCUUUCCCAUUGCAAUUAGCUUAUUAUAUCAAUUUGCUUAUUAUAUCAUUUGCUUAUUGUAUCUGCAUUGCCAUUUAUGUGGGAUAAAGGUUGUUUACCCUCA